UACGAAGGGGGCUAGCGUUGUUCGGAAUCACUGGGCGUAAAGGGCGCGUAGGCGGCCGUUCAAGUCGGGGGUGAAAGCCUGUGGCUCAACCACAGAAUGGCCUUCGAUACUGGACGGCUCGAGACCGGAAGAGGUCAGUGGAACUGCGAGUGUAGAGGUGAAAUUCGUAGAUAUUCGCAAGAACACCAGUGGCGAAGGCGGCUGACUGGUCCUGUUCUGACGCUGAGGCGCGAAAGCGUGGGGAGCAAACAGG
rnacentral:rRNA from 1 species